AGUGAACGCUGGCGGCAGGCCUAACACAUGCCAGUCGAGCGGCAGCGGGUCCUUCGGGAUGCCGGCGAGCGGCGGACGGGUGAGGAAUGCGUCGGAAUCUGCCUUUUUGUGGGGGAUAACGUAGGGAAACUUACGCUAAUACCGCAUACGACCUACGGGUGAAAGUGGGGGACCGCAAGGCCUCACGCAUAAAGAUGAGCCGACGUCGGAUUAGCUAGUUGGCGGGGUAAAGGCCCACCAAGGCGACGAUCCGUAGCUGGUCUGAGAGGAUGAUCAGCCACACUGGAACUGAGACACGGUCCAGACUCCUACGGUAGGCAGCAGUGGGGAAUAUUGGACAAUGGGCGCAAGCCUGAUCCAGCCAUGCCGCGUGUGUGAAGAAGGCCUUCGGGUUGUAAAGCACUUUUGUCCGGAAAGAAAUCCUGUCGGCUAAUACCCGGCGGGGAUGACGGUACCGUAAGAAUAAGCGCCGGCUAACUUCGUG
rnacentral:rRNA from 1 species